rnacentral:rRNA from 1 species
GACGAACGCUGGCGGCGUGCUUAACACAUGCAAGUCGAGCGGUAAGGCCCUUUCGGGGGUACGACGAGCGGCGAACGGGUGAGUAACACGUGGGUGACCUGCCCUCAGCUCUGGGAUAAGCCCGGGGAACUGGGUCUAAUACUGGAUAUGACUCCAUGACGCAUGUUGUGGGGUGGAAAGCCUUGUGCGGCUGAGGAUGGGCCCGCGGCCUAUCAGCUUGUUGGUGGGGNGAUGGCCUACCAAGGCGACGACGGGUAGCCGGCCUGAGAGGGCGACCGGCCACACUGGGACUGAGACACGGCCCAGACUCCUACGGGAGGCAGCAGUGGGGAAUCUUGCGCAAUGGGCGAAAGCCUGACGCAGCGACGCCGCGUGAGGGAUGACGGCCUGUGUAAC